GCCACAUUUGGUGUAAGGACCAGGAAAAUAAUUUUUUUACUCGUUCAGGUGACUUUAUAUAAAGUGGUGGGAAAAAAAAUUCAAAAAAAUAUACUAGUGCCACCACAUCUAUAGAAGGGACUGAAGGAAUUUUUUUUCCGUUUUUGGUGACACCACAUGAAGUGGUGAGACCAAAAAAUUAAAAAAAAACAAAUACUGGUGCUGCCACAUGUAUAGUAGGGACUAGGGAAAAGUUUUUUUAAACUAUUUUGGAAACACCAAGUGAAGUGGC
rnacentral:lncRNA from 1 species